rnacentral:rRNA from 1 species
UACGGAGGGUGCAAGCGUUAUCCGGAUUUACUGGGUUUAAAGGGUGUGUAGGCGGACUUUUAAGUCAGCGGUGAAAUCUCCGGGCUCAACCCGGAAACUGCCAUUGAUACUAUUGGUCUUGAAUGUUGUUGAGGUGGGCGGAACGGGUCAUGUAGCGGUGAAAUGCAUAGAUAUGACCCGGAACACCGAUUGCGAAGGCAGCCCACUAAGCAACGAUUGACGCUGAGGCACGAAAGCGUGAGGAUCAAACAGG